rnacentral:ncRNA from 1 species
GAAAUAACAUUGAUUGGGAAAAGUAAUCGUGAGCUUUUUUACACAGAGAGAGUGGUACUUGCUGAAAUCCACUCUAAGAAACCGCGAUGAACAUGCACCCAGGAGUCUUAAUCUGAAUGGAGUUAGGUAAGUAGGAUUAGGCGGAUGAGCCACGUUAAGGCUGAUGAGAACCAGCGUUAGUCUGGAAAACAGAGUGGAACCGUGUAUGCAAACACCUCUGUA